rnacentral:lncRNA from 1 species
GCCGCUGGUUGGCUCACGCGCCGUCCUCGCCUCCAAUCCCCGGUGCCUGUCCUAAUUUCCUGAUCCAGAGAACCUGCCGCCCCAGCAGCUGUGCGCUCGCUACAGUCUUUAGUGUACCCUCCCGGCAGCCGCCCACAGUGAACGCGGCGGGAGCAGUUAGCGUUGAUGCAACUAUUGCUGCGAGGGUCCUCGCCUCCCCAUUCUCGGGGCUCGCAGCUGGCCGGCGUGGGGUGCAGCUUCCAGGGACAGCGCACGUCUUUGUCUCACCCUCUCCUGCACCCCUAAGAGAGGCUGUUCCCACAGUUAUGGAAAAGACUCUCGGAGAGGGUAACUGAAACCAAAGAAGUGACUGGAGCAUCUAGCUAAAGGCAUGCCCUAGGAAACGAGGACUACAACUCAAUGGAGAGGGAAAGACACAGGCAAGACAUGUACAACCAGGUCAUGAUAUGGGAAAUGUUGCACUCCCUGUUUCUUCUUCAGAACAUCAAGAACCUGGGAAGAAGACCUACAAUCUGGACCUUGGAAAUGUCUGGCACAUGGAAUAGCAGGCUGAGGCCACCCGAAGUGAGACAUCACCUCCUGUCCUUACCACCAUACCUGCCUAGCUGUCGUUGUGGUGAGGUGCCAACAUGGAGCAUGUUUAUUCAGGGCAAGGGGACAUUCAGUACCACCACAGGGCAGCGUGAAGGAAAAAGUAAGCUCCAGAAGGAGAAGGAAGGUUUUUGUCUCUCAGAAAUGACGUGGCCCAUCUGCCUGGAAGAGGGUCCUGUUUUCACUCCUCACAUUCCUGACUUUUCAAGGAAAGACUGGCUUGAGAAGAAAUUUUUUGAUGUGGCCCAAAACAGCGCUCUUUGUGAAAGAAUAAACAGGCCUCUUUUCUUGGCAGAGUCUUGCUGUGUAGUCCAGACUGGCCCUGAACUCUGAUUUACCCUCUGCCUCAGCUUCCCAAGCUUCAUACAUAUGAAGUUUUCCAGGUACAGGAGGAGGAGGAGGAAGAGGAGGAGGAGGAAGAGGAAGAGGAGGAGGAGAAAGAGGAAGAGGAGGAGGAGGAGGAGAACUUAAGCCAUGUAGAGGGUAGGCUUAAAAAAAUCCACUGUGUCAUGAGAAGAAUGAAGAAAGAUCUCUAGAGUAGCCUGGUGAGAACUACAUUAUUUAUUUCUAAAUAAAUAUUAAAUGUCUGUUAUGUUCUGAGCACUGUCAUACAAUGUGCUGGUGUAACAGGAUAGACAGAUUGAUUGAUUUGGUCUUGAUCCCCGUUUUUGGC